UACAGAGGUCCCAAGCGUUGUUCGGAUUUACUGGGCGUAAAGGGUGCGUAGGCGGCCUGGUAAGUCUGUUGUGAAAUCUCCAAGCUUAACUUGGAAACUGCAGUGGAUACUAUCCGGCUAGAGGAAUGGAGGGGAGACUGGAAUACUUGGUGUAGCAGUGAAAUGCGUAGAUAUCAAGUGGAACACCAGUGGCGAAGGCGAGUCUCUGGACAUUUCCUGACGCUGAGGCACGAAAGCCAGGGGAGCAAACGGG
rnacentral:rRNA from 1 species